ACAGCCUUAUCAUGUUGAGACACCAUUUCUGGUACGAUCACUGAAGUUAAGCAACAUCGAGCCUGGUCAGUAUCUAGAUGGGUGACUGCUUGGGAAUACCAGGUGCUGUAA